UACCUGAAGUUCCCAUAGCAAACUGCUCAGUAACACAUGAUCAACUUACCCUAUGGAGAUAAAUAACCUCGGGAAACUGAGGAUAAUUUUUCAUAGUUGAAUAGGCUUGGAAAAGUUUUUCAAUGAAAGGGAUAAGAAAAAUGGUUCUUAUUUGCCAUAGGAUAGGAUCGUGGUCGAUUAUGGUUGUUGGUGAGGUAACGGCUCACCAAGCCGAUAAUCGAUAGGGGCCGUGAGAGCGGGAGCCCCGAGAUGGGUACUGAGACAGCGACCCAGGCCUUACGAGGCGCAGCAGGCGCGGAACCUCCGCAAUACACGAAAGUGUGACGGGGUUACCCAAAGUGUCCAUUUUUGGACUGUGGUAGGUGAGUAAUGUCCCCUACUAGAAAGGAGAGGGCAAGGCUGGUGCCAGCCGCCGCGGUAAAACCAGCUCUUCAAGUGGUCGGGAUGAUUAUUGGGCUUAAAGUGUCCGUAGCCGGUUUAGUAAGUUCCUGGUAAAAUCGGGUAGCUUAACUAUCCGUAUGCUAGGAAUACUGCUAUACUAGAGGGCGGGAGAGGUCUGAGGUACUAUAGGGGUAGGGGUGAAAUCCUAUAGUCCUUGUAGGACCACCAGUGGCGAAGGCGUCAGACUGGAACGCGCCUGACGGUGAGGGACGAAAGCCAGGGGAGCGAACCGGAUUAGAUACCCGGGUAGUCCUGGCCGUAAACGAUGCAUACUAGGUGAUGGCACGGCCAUGAGCCGUGUCAGUGCCGUAGGGAAACCGUUAAGUGUGCCGCCUGGGAAGUACGGUCGCAAGGCUAAAACUAAAAGGAAUUGGCGGGGGUGGAA
rnacentral:rRNA from 1 species